UUAGAGAAAUCAUAGUUCUUGGGCUCUGGGGGAACUACGACCGCAAGGCUGAAACUUGAAGGAAUUGACGGAAGGGCACACCAGGGGUGGAGCCUGUGGCUUAAUUUGAAUCAACACGGGGAAACUUACCAGGACCAGAUGUUUUUUAUGACUGACAGGCUUCGGGUCUUUCAGGAUAUGAUUUUUGGUGGUGCAUGGCCGUUGGUGGUGCGUGGGUUGACCUGUCUAGCGUUGAUUCAGCUAACGAGCGAGAUUAUCGCCAAUUAUAUACUACGCGUAGGUUUCUACGUUGCAGUUCUAAUUGGGACUCCCUGCGAUUUUAGCAGGCGGAAGAGGGUAGCAAUAACAGGUCCGUGAUGUCCUUUAGAUGCUCUGGGCUGCACGCGUGCUACAAUGUUAGGAUCAAUAGGAAAUAUUUUAUAAUACUCUGCGAACCUGAAAGGGCGAGCUACUCCUAAAAUCCCUAACGUAGUUGGGAUUGACGUUUGUAAUCAGCGUCAUGAACCAGGAAUCCCUUGUAAAUGUGUGUCAACAUCGCACGUUGAAUACGUCCCUGCCCUUUGUACACACCGCCCGUCGCUCCUACCGAUUGGAUGACUCGGUGAAAUCACCGGAUUCGUACGCGAAGAAAGUGAUUAAAUCACGUUAUCUAGA
rnacentral:rRNA from 1 species